GGCCCCGUAGUUCAACUGGAUAGAAUAUCAGAUUUCGGCUCUGAGGGUUGGGGGUUCGAAUCCUCCCGGGGUCA
rfam:Imtechella halotolerans K1 Contig2, whole genome shotgun sequence.